rnacentral:rRNA from 1 species
GACGAACGCUGGCGGCGUGCCUAAUACAUGCAAGUAGAACGCUGAAGGAGGAGCUUGCUUCUCCGGAUGAGUUGCGAACGGGUGAGUAACGCGUAGGUAACCUGCCUGGUAGCGGGGGAUAACUAUUGGAAACGAUAGCUAAUACCGCAUAAGAGUAGAUGUCGCAUGACAUUUGCUUAAAAGGUGCAACUGCACCACUACCAGAUGGACCUGCGUUGUAUUAGCUAGUUGGUGAGGUAACGGCUCACCAAGGCAACGAUACAUAGCCGACCUGAGAGGGGGAUCGGCCACACUGGGACUGAGACACGGCCCAGACUCCUACGGGAGGCGGCAGUAGGGAAUCUUCGGCAAUGGACGGAAGUCUGACCGAGCAACGCCGCGUGAGUGAAGAAGGUUUUCGGAUCGUAAAGCUCUGUUGUAAGAGAAGAACGAGUGUGAGAGUGGAAAGUUCACACUGUGACGGUAUCUUACCAGAAAGGGACGGCUAACUACGUG